rnacentral:tRNA from 1 species
GUAAGUAUAGCUCAGUGGUAGAGCACAUGCUUAGCAUGUGGGAGGUCCUGGGUUCAAUCCCCAGUACCUCCA